UGGGGAAUCGUCUAACGGUAGGACGCAUGGCUCUGGACCAUGUAGUGGUGGUUCGAAUCCAUCUUCCCCAG
rnacentral:tRNA from 2 species